UUGCACUAUCAUUAUUUAUUGUGGAAUAUCAUGUAAGAAUUUAUUAAGCUUACUUGCAGAUUCAGGCCAUUGACAAAGAGCUAAAAGCAUUGAAAGCUAUGUUCAAAUGCAUCACGGAUUACAAGAUUGAUGGCCUCUCGUCUGCAAAACUUAAAGAACAAAUUUCCCAACUGCUAAAACAGAAAGAAGAGAAAGUUCAAAUGAUUGAAAAUUCAAAAGCCAAAAUCAGACCUGGUUCCUCGUCUGAAUCUAAUGCUGACCUGCGACAGCAGAGUGGAAAUAAGCGUCCUAGAAUUCAUGCAGAGGAUCCUCCAAGAGCAUCCAGUCAUGGGACAUAUGCAGUUCAUUCAAUGCGACCUUCCCAGCCGCCGCCGCCAGGUUUCUUUCCGAUUCAUGGUGUUCCUCACA
rnacentral:lncRNA from 1 species